GACCAUCUCCCUGCGCCGUUUCGGACAGUUGGAGCUUUGGGGGUUUGUCUUGUAUGACUCCCCUUAAAUGCAUCAGUGGCACGGUUGAACCCAGUUGCUCUUCCGCCCACUCUAAACAAGUAAAUCUAAU
rnacentral:misc_RNA from 1 species